CCUCAGGUACAGAUUUGAUUUCUCAGGCUACUGGUUAUAUUCCAGGACUCAUGCCGUCCUGAGUAUAACCAAAGCCUCUCUGUAUGUUGUAAAAU
rnacentral:pre_miRNA from 1 species